rnacentral:rRNA from 1 species
GUGAUAAGGUCCAUUGCCGAGAGGGAAACAGCCCAGACCAUCGUCUAAGGUCCCCAAGUUAUCACUAAGUGGGAAAGGAUGUAAAGAAACCAAAACAACCAGGAGGUUGGCUUAGAAGCAGCCAUCCUUUAAAGAAAGCGUAAUAGCUCACUGGUCUAAAUAAGUUUUUUUGCGCCGAAAAUGUAACGGGGCUCAAGUGAUACACCGAAGACAUGGAUUUAUUUGAUUGAUUUCAAAUAAGUGGUAGCGAAGCGUUGUGUAAGUCUGUGAAGGUGAACCGUCAGGUUUGCUGGAGAUAUCACAAGUGAGAAUGCCGACAUGAGUAACGAUAAAACGAGUGAGAAACUCGUUCGCCGAAAAUCUAAGGUUUCCUACGUAAAGUUAAUCUGCGUAGGGUUAGUCGAGACCUAAGACGAGGCCGAAAGGCGUAGUCGAUGGAAAUUGGGUUAAUAUUCCCAAACCAAGUGGUGAGUGACGGAGCGUACUUUUUCGUAAUGCCUUAUUGGAUUGGCAUUGCGGCGAGGUUGCUUCCAGGAAAUAGCCCCACAUUAAGCUCGUACCAAAACCGACACAGGUAGAUGGGUUGAAAAUACCAAGGCGCUUGAGAGAACUACACUGAAGGAACUAGGCAAAAUACAUCCGUAAGUUCGCGAGAAGGAUGGCCAUCUUUGGGUAACCAAAGAAUGGUGGCACAGAAAUGGGGGUAGCGACUGUUUAUCAAAAACACAGGGCUCUGCUAAAUCAUGAAGAUGAUGUAUAGGGUCUGACGCCUGCCCGGUGCUGGAAGGUUAAGUGAUGAUGUGAGAGCAUUUGAUCGAAGCCCCAGUAAACGGCGGCCGUAACUAUGACGGUCCUAAGGGCGAAAUUCCUUGUCGGGUAAAUAGUUCCGACCCGCACGAAUGGCGUAACGACUUCCCCGCUGUCUCCAGUGUAGACUCAGUGAAAUUGAAUUUGCCGUUAAGAUGCGGUAUUCCUGCGGUUAGACGGAAAGACCCCGUGCACCUUUACUAUAACUUUACACUGAAAUUAAAAAUGCGCUGUGUAGCAUAAGUGGGAGACUUUGAAGCCUAGGCGUCAGCUUAGGUGGAGUCACCAGUGAAAUACCACUCUGCUUAUUUUUGAUUUCUAACUACAGCGGCUAUAUCGUCGCUUAGAACACUGUAUGGUGGGUAGUUUGACUGGGGCGGUCGCCUCCCAAAGAGUAACGGAGGCGCGCAAUGGUAGGCUCAAACUGGACGGAAAUCAGUUUUAGAGUGUAAUGGCACAAGCUUGCCUGACUGCGAGACUGACAAGUCGAGCAGAGACGAAAGUCGGUCAUAGUGAUCCGGUGGUUCUGUAUGGAAGGGCCAUCGCUCAACGAAUAAAAGGUACGCCGGGGAUAACAGGCUGAUCUUGCCCAAGAGUUCAUAUCGACGGCAAGGUUUGGCACCUCGAUGUCGGCUCAUCACAUCCUGGGGCUGAAGAAGGUCCCAAGAGU